AAAUUUGCCUUGCUGAGAGAACUUAGGGUCUGUGUGCUAAUUCUUCUUGGCAACACCAGAGAAUAGGCAUUUACUUCCAACAGUGUCCCCCCAGAAGAUAUAUUGAAGUCCUACUCCUAACUCCUGGUACCUGUGAAUGUGACCUCAUUUGGAAACAGGGUCUCUCCAGAAUUAAUCAAAUUAAGAUGAGAUCAUCCUAGAGUAGAGUGGGCCCUAAUCCAAUAUGACUGUUGUCCUUAUCAAAAAACGAGGAGACCCAGAGACAGACACCCAGAGAGGAGAAGGCCAUGUGAAGAUGGAGGCAGAGAUGGCAGCAAUGCAUCUACAAGCCAAGGAUUGCUGGAACGACCAGGAGCUAGAGGAGAGGCAUGGCACAGACCUUCUUCCAGAACCUUCAGAAAGAACAUAUCCCUGCUGACCUUGGUUUCCAACUUCCAGUUCUCAUCAGAACGCUGACAGAAUGAACGUCUGCUGUUCUAGACCACCCAGUUGGUGUUAAAUUGUUAUGGCAGCCACAGAAAACCGGUAUCCUCCCAAAUGAACUACUUGCAACUGAAUCCUGGGUUCAGAAUCUGCAUCUUUGCAACAACACAAAUGGGACUGGAGGUCAUUAUGGGGCCAAAAACUGGCUGGGGAGCUGGGCGAUGGGCUCGGAGGCAGGAGAGAGAGCAGUACCAGUCAUUCGACAUCCAGCAACGAUUUGUUAAUGGUCUACCCGGUGCCUGGCACUGCAUUGGGCGCCAGAAUUACAACAGGAACGGAGAUGAAGUUUCUGGCCUCCUGAAUUUACAUUCUCAUCACGGGAGAGCCACAUCGCGCCUCAUCACUUGUAGCAAGCUUCCGUCAGAUGAUGGAGAACUCCAGUACUUGGCUUUGAACCUGCCUGCUUCUAACUGCUGGAGAAAGAAACCUCAGCCAGCUGUGGAGAAAGGGGCCGUCACCUCCCGCAGCUGCAGCAAAGCAGGUGUUAUUCUCCAUCAUAAAGCAUCCUGGCCAAGAAAGGGAUCUUCAGAAGUUGUUGCUAUGCCCUGGGAAAGCUACCUUCAACCUCCAAAAUGUCUGUCAUCCUGAUCGGGUUUCUUACUCAAGAAGUUGUGGCCCUGGGUAACGCUCUAUGUGUCAAAACCUUUGUUUUCUAAAUUGUCUAUCUGGCUGGCUUCCCAUCCGUCUUCUAGAGUGACCUUUCUCAAUUCCAAGUCCGGUUAAGGCAGAAGAGCUUCAGCAGUGAGCCCUUCUUCUCCCUGUUCACUUAAAAAUAAAAAUCACAAUAUACACGUUUAGAAAAAGAGA
rnacentral:lncRNA from 13 species